CAAAUCCCUAAAAGCCAUCCCAGUUCGGAUUGCAGGCUGAAACCCGCCUGUAUGAAGUUGGAAUCGCUAGUAAUCGCGGAUCAGCAUGCCGCGGUGAAUACGUUCCCGGGCCUUGUACACACCGCCCGUCACACCAUGAGAGUCGGGAACACCCGAAGUCCGUAGCCUAACCACAAGGGGGGCGCGGCCGAAGGUGGGUUCGAUAAUUGGGGUGAAGUCGUAACAAGGUAAC
rnacentral:rRNA from 1 species